rnacentral:rRNA from 1 species
CCAGCAGCCGCGGUAAUUCCAGCUCCAAUAGCGUAUAUUAAAGUUGUUGCAGUUAAAAAGCUCGUAGUCGGAUUUCUGGUGCCGGGGCACGGUCCGCCGAGAGGUGUGCACUGUGCGUCGGUGCCUUUUUCCUCCCGAUGUCUGCGUGUGCUCUUAACUGAGUGUGCGUGUGGCUCGGGACCUUUACUUUGAAAAAAUUAGAGUGUUCAAAGCAGGCCUUCGCUUGAAUACAUUAGCAUGGAAUAAUGGAAUAGGACUUUGGUUCUAUUUUGUUGGUUCUAGGACCGAAGUAAUGAUUAAUAGGGAUGGUUGGGGGCAUUAGUAUUUAAUUGUCAGAGGUGAAA